UGGGGAAUCUUGCGCAAUGGGCGAAAGCCUGACGCAGCGACGCCGCGUGAGUGAUGAAGGCCUUCGGGUUGUAAAGCUCUGUGGGGAGAGACGAAUAAGUGUUGGCUAAUAUCCAGCGCGAUGACGGUAUCUCCUUAGCAAGCACCGGCUAACUCUGUGCCAGCAGCCGCGGUAAGACAGAGGGUGCAAACGUUGUUCGGAAUUACUGGGCGUAAAGCGUGUGUAGGCGGCUCCACAAGUCGGAUGUGAAAGCCCCGGGCUCAACCCGGGAAGUGCACUCGAUACUGCGGAGCUUGAGUAUCGGAGAGGUUGGUGGAAUUCUCGGUGUAGAGGUGAAAUUCGUAGAUAUCGAGAGGAACACCGGUGGCGAAGGCGGCCAACUGGACGAAUACUGACGCUGAGACACGAAAGCGUGGGGAGCAAACAGG
rnacentral:rRNA from 1 species